AUGUUAUGUUGUAAUUACUGUAUUUACGAAUUUAGCACCAAAAUAUCACGAUGUAUUGAAAACAAUGACUACAAAAAUGGCUUGGAUAAUCCAGAACCUUGGAUAAGCAAGUAUUGGAUAAGUGAGACUCUACUGUAUUAUCAUCACCAUAUUAUUAUUGAUAUAUUGCUAUUAUCAUUAUCAUCAUAUUAUUCUUAUUGUUACCAUAUUUCUAUUAUCAUCAUGUUAUUAUUAUUGUUAUUAUUAUAUUAUCAUUAUUAUCAUCAUCACCGUAUUAUUAUUGUUAUCAUAUUCUUAUCACCAUCAUAUUAUUAUUAUUGUUAUUAUCAUAUUCAUAUGAUUAUUAUCACCGUAUUAUUAUGAUAGUCUUAUCACCAUCAUAUUAUUAUCACUAUUAUGAUCACCAUAUUAUUAUCAUUAUGAUUAUUAUCAUCAUCACCAUAUUAUCAUAUUCUUAUCACCAUAUUACUAUCAUCAUCACCAUAUUAUUAUCACUAUCAUGAU
rnacentral:lncRNA from 11 species